UGGGGAAUCUUGCGCAAUGCGCGAAAGCGUGACGCAGCAACGCCGCGUGAGGGAAGACGGCCUUCGGGUUGUAAACCUCUUUCAGUUGGGACGAAGCCUCGGCGGUGAACAGCCGUUCGAGGUGACGGUACCUUCAGAAGAAGCCCCGGCUAACUACGUGCCAGCAGCCGCGGUAAUACGUAGGGGGCAAGCGUUGUCCGGAAUCAUUGGGCGUAAAGAGCGCGUAGGCGGUCCGGUAAGUCCGCUGUGAAAGUCAAGGGCUCAACCCUUGAAAGCCGGUGGAUACUGUCGGGCUAGAGUCCGGAAGAGGCGAGUGGAAUUCCUGGUGUAGCGGUGAAAUGCGCAGAUAUCAGGAGGAACACCUAUGGCGAAGGCAGCUCGCUGGGACGGUACUGACGCUGAGGCGCGAAAGCGUGGGGAGCAAACAGG
rnacentral:rRNA from 1 species